CAAAAGGCUGUCCAUGCCUCUCUUCACAAGGUGUGCAGAAACAUGAGAGACCCAUGGAAAAUUGUCUCCUAGCAAUUCCAAAUUGAAAAGUUAAAAGAAGCUAAAGAAAACAAAUGGAAAUCCUAGGAAAGGCAUUUCUACCUACGUGUAAAAACGAGAAGCCGACUUACAGAGAAGCCAAGGGAUUUGACUAUGUCGCGUUGGAAGAGUCAGCGCUACAACAUGCAAGCUCCCUGAAGCUCCAGGCUGGUCGCUGCUUUUCGCCCACAGAGGCCCAGCUCCCAAACGUCCGUGCACUAAGGCCAAGCAACGCGUCAAAAAGGCCCAUGCCAUGCCCUCCGAAUAUGGGCGCUACACCCAGGCCUGCCAAGGACAUUCAACUUCCUUCCUUCCUCCACGGCAGCACCAUGGAAGGGAGAGCCUGGAAGCUGGAAAGUGGACCUCAAGUUUGCGUGGCUCCGAGUGAGAUCUCUGGCCAGGGCAACACUUCUCAAACGUAUGAAAGAGCCAGUGAAAACUCCAGCCAGACACACUUAAUCACUGAGAAACACAGAAGAGGGAGGCGCCCAUCCUGCUUGGUGACCCGGGAGCUGGGGAGCAACAGGACCAUCAGCUUUCCCUCCUUGCUCCCACGCCCGGUGUCGGAUGCAAGCGAGGACCUCCCUGCCGUCUCCGUGUGCAUCUGCAUACACGCGGCACACAUGCUCGUGGGCUCUCACACCAGGGAGACUUGCUUGCUUCUGUGUGUGUGUGUGCGCGCAUGUGUGUGUGUGCGUGUGCGCGUGCAUGUUCUUACACACACACCCGCUUCCUCUUCUGCUGCUCACCGCCGCAAUCCUCUGAGAGUGCAGCACAAGGUUUCCAUUAGUGAAGCACAUUUUUGUGCGAUGGAUGUUGAACCGGGGGAAAGAAAGCAGACUGCUGUCCAUGAUGGAUGGGUUUCCGAGAGGACUUCCCAGGGUGGUCCUUUGGGGGCUGGGGUGGAGGCAUGCGGACGCAGGGCUCACAACAUUCCCUGUCUCGGUGUGAUGUCUGUGUCGGGUCUGCCUGCUCUGCCCGUGGGCUCUGCACCCCCAUUCAUCCCCUUGCGUCACCCCCACCCACCGCAGCGAUCCUCCCUCCCCCAACACCCCGUGCCUCCAGCUUCCCUCAGUUCAGACAUACUUUGUUCUCAUUUUAGAACAAAAAGUGACAUGUCCCGUGUGCUUGUUCUUGAUUGUGGAUGUGGCAGCCCCUACGAGGAAGGCAUGGUUUGGAGACCAGAGCUCACGAAACAUCACCCAUUAUUCCUGCGUUUUAACAAGACUCUAUGUCUCUCUGAAGAAUGCUGAGAUUUGCACAAACUUUGUAAACGUAAUUUUCCGGAACACUCACCCUUAUGGCCGCAUGCAGACAGAACGAGAGACUAGGAGGGUGAACCGAGGCCCAGCUCUGGAUUCUCAACAGCUUGCACAACGCCUCAAACACGAUUAGCAUGUGCUGGAUGAAUGAAUAAUAAAAAUAACUGGG
rnacentral:lncRNA from 1 species